UUGUGAACUAAUUUGGAACAUCAGAGCUUUGUUCUACGGGAAUAAGUGAGCUGUGUGGUUCAGGGUCAGAGUCAUGUCAGCAGAGAUAUGAUGAGUUAAGAAGACUUUCAUGGUCUGAGUUGAGCAGAUCACGUGCAAUUGUGUUUCUGUGAGA